rnacentral:misc_RNA from 1 species
CGAUGGAUCAUUACGUUUUGUUGUAUGCGACGUAUGCGCGCAUACAACUCAAUGCAACCCAAGCACUAGUUUAUGUUCUCAUACAACAUCAACACCCCCUAUUAAUAACUUCCCACACAUGUUGGGACCAUACUCAUUAUGAUCAGAGUACUAACCAUCUUCACUUUUAAUUAAGUGAAUUCACAUUAAACAUACAUGAGUUUAAAAAAGCUAGUUGAGCGAUGGAUCUCACGGCUCCUUGCAUCUUUGAAGGUCGCAGCGAAUUGCGAAAUGAAGGUCGUGUGAAUUGCAAGACACACUGGCCCCUUUUCGGGCUGCGGAACACCUUACUUAUUGAACGAAGUCGUCACUCGUAGUCUGCCGCGCAGUUCCUCGGAACGGUGUUGGCUACUGCAGUGCACUUGGUUGAGAACGUGUUGUAUAAUAACAACUUUAGUAUUGAUUAUAUAUCAAUGCCUUGAAUCGAGUCCUACUCUUUUCAUCCAAUAUAUAACAGUAUGAACGCAUGGGGACUAUCCCCUGCUGUCACAAACAGUGUAUAAGUGUAACACUAAUAACAGUUGUUGUUGUGUUGUAUGCUGUGUUGUUGCAUUGACGUGGCCAGGUGCAGGCUGCGCUAGUAAUAACUAUGCAUUAUACAUACUUUACAUAUAUAUGUAUAUUUAUAUAUAUCUACCCAACUAUCCAUCUUAGUAUGAUGCUUUAUGCAAAUAUCGCAUUUGAAAAUGAUAGUGUGUUGAGUUAACUUAUGUAUAUAUAUAUAUAUUGUGUAUCUGUGUGUGUUAAGCUAUAAUUGUGAUCGUGCGGCUAGCUAACAAAAACCAAGCUGCUGAGCAACACACGCACACACACACACACACUCAACUAAUUGGUGAUACCAUCACGCAUAUUGAUCAAUACGUCUCAGCCAAGUGAGACAACGCGCUGAAUUUAAGCAUAUUAUUAAGCGCAGUGUAAAAAAAGAAACUAACAAGGAUUCCCUUAGUAGUGGCGAACGAACAGGGAUACACAAUAUACGAGUGCUCUCUUUAAACAUUCUUCGGAAUGCGAGAGGGCCUGCUCGUGAUAGCCCGCCCCCUAAUCCAAGUCUCUUUUUAAGAGCUGUUAGUGUGACUGUAGCCUUCGGGUUAUGGUCAUAUCUGGUGGCACCUUAUUAAGGACGGAAUUGUAGCGUAUGACAUUGAAUUGACAUAUUAUUGAUUGUGGUAGAAAACAAUCAAUAAAUCAUCUAGAAAACACUCUCUUAUAGUUGCAUAUUAAUCAAGUUAAAGUCCUGUGUGUCAUGCACACUGGAAUGUAACACGUGUUUAUCACCGCUAUAAAGCGUGACAGCCGCGUUUGAGAUUUAUGUGCACAGAGAUGUGUAGUGCAUACAGCAAGUAUUGCACUGUCAUUCUUGUCGCUGAGUCGGUCUGAUUGGGACUUCAGACUUAAUAGUUCAGGUGGUAAUGACACAUCAAAGGCUAAAUAUUUGUAGUUAGUUUCUACACAUGCAAUGGAGACCGAUAGCACACAAGUACCGUCAGGGAAAGAUGAAAAGCACCCUUCCAGCACGUGAUCUCUUUAUUGAGUUCACACGCUCCACAGGGAGUGAAAAGAGAGUGAAAUCGCCUAAUAGCAACUCUUGCUGACUUGUGAACAGCAUAAACACAGUACUUUUUGCAUACAGCGAAGUACAAUCGGACAGAAGUGUCUUGGAAUGCGCGGACUAUUAAGUGAAUAAUUGUACAUGGUCGGUCACUCUAGCGUUAAUCGCUUGGUGUUACACCAUCCACAUUAACAAUGCUACUGACCAUUAACGACUUGUACAUAACUUAAUACGUUUAACUGCAAUGUGUUGUGCUACUUUUGUAGCCAAACGAAAUAGACACCAACUGUUCGACCCGUCUUGAAACACGGACCAAGGAGUUCAACUCAAGUGCGAGUCGUAGCAUUCUCUUUUUAAGAAAUGCACUCGGCGAAGCGAAAGCAACUUAAAGCGAGGGAUACACUCUUUUAAAUAAGAGCGUUGCACCUCUGGCCGACAUGGUAUAUGCUUGUUUGGCAACGAAUAAGUAUACACACGGAAAAUGUCGAGCAAUAGAGCAGUUGAUGUUGAGACCCGAAAGAUGGUGAACUAUGCUCGGGCAUGGUGAAGCCAGGAGAAAUCUUGGUGGAAGCUUGCGUUGUGAGGUACUGACGUGCAAAUCGUAACCUCCUGAUCCGAGUAUAGGGGCGAAAGACUCAUCGAACCAUCUAGUAGCUGGUUCCCUC